ACAUUUUUCUCAUCAGUGCAAGAAAAGAACUUCACUUAGGUGAAGUUGACACAGAGUUUUUAGAAAUUGAUGCCUGCUGUUUCUAUGUAUGCUUAUACCCAUAUAUUUCUUGGAGAUAUAUGAUAAAAAUGGCCCCCGGAAUGGAGAUGGUGAUUAAAAAAACAAAGCAAACAACAAAGUCAAGACACACAAACACAAAGUAGUUUGUAACUGCAGUGUUUCAUCAGUCUUGUGUGGAAAUAAUGCUGUCCUAUUAUUAGUAGUAAGCGAUGUUUUGUUUGUUCUGUUUUUCUUUCUGCUUAUUUGCACAGAUAUUCAGGAGCCAGUGCCUCUUUGCCAUAUCUGAUUUUCUGGUUGGUGGGGCCAUUUAAAAAGAAACAUAUUCCAAGGCCUCAGAGUAUUGUGUUUUCUGUAUAAAAGAGGCAAAGGAGAGAAAGUUUCAGUCGGUGCUUAUCCACAGUUCUGAAAACCAUUCUUAUUUUACAACCUUAAUCUGUCAACUAAAAGUUAAUAAGGCGAUAGAUUCUCUGCCUCAUCUCCAGGCAGGCAGCCAUCUUUAAAAAAGAUGAUUAUCAGACCUCAGGAACUUUGGUUCUUCAGCCUUUGUCUAUUAGACAUCCUUCCCGGUUUUUAGCUGAGAAACAUUUUCAUAGUCUAUUUACUUUCUAUUUAUAUAUUAAAUGCUUAUAUUAAGAGCAAGGGUUUACAUCGUAUUUUACUCCUAAAGACAGCAUAAUUUUCCUUACUUGCAAGCAAGGUCAUGACAGAGUUUUCAGGACGGAGUUUCCUAUUUCAAGAGGCUGUCCCAUUAUGAUACUCUUUCUUUCAUUUUAAUCCCUUUUUUUUUCAUUUUUAUAUGUAUUUGUCAUUCUGCUUCUCUUAUCUUCCUCAAUGUGAAUUCUAGUGGGUUCUACUGGGAUAGUCUCUAUUUUGUGAAGAAAUUAAAUUUGGGGGAGUAUUGGGAUCUUGUACCAGGUCAGGGAACACUGAGAAACAUGUAAGAAGAGGAAUUGGUAGUGAGUCAGACUUUCAGUGGAGCUUGGUUUACUUGUGAUUUGAAGUAUUCUAUAAUUGCAAAAUACAACUAGUUUCUGAAAAUAUUUUUUAACAGUUGUAUAGUUUUCUCUAACCCUUAUGUGAUACUUUAAGCCUUAUGUCACACAGGACUUGGGAAUUUUCCCCCAGUGGGUCAUGGAUUCCUAUGGUGACUUAAAACACCGUAGACAGUCACUGUUUAUAAAAGAAGCUUGAUUGUCUUAAGUACAAAGGGCUUAAGAAAGUUUAAAACACAAGAGCAUCGUGAGCUCAGCUCAGCCAGGUGGGCCUGGCUUUGAGAUGGCUGUUUCCUUGAGGUCAGGACAGCUUCAGCAAGGCACAGGCACAGCGGUGGAAUGUUCUGACUUCAGGGUUCUCGCUGCAGCACAUGUGCAGGGUGAGGCAAAUGCAGCUAGCAUAAGGAAACCAAGAUCUUAUCAUAGAGAAGAAUCUUCCCCUAUACAGGCUCCUGCUACUUUAAAGGGAUGAAGUAAAUAUUAUAUUUGCUGGAUUAACAUUUUUUAAAUAGCAGGUAUGUAGCCUGUGAUUCUAAACAGCAAUUAAGUUUCACUUGUAAAGAGGACAAAGGAUCCACAGAAAAAUGGACAAGAGACUUGAACAGAUAUUUCACAGAUGAAACGGAAAUGACCAAUAAAUAUGUAAAGUAAUUUUUAAUAUCUUUGCUAGUCAAGGAAAUGCAAAUCAAGACCACAAAAAUAAUAUUCUAUACCUAUUUUCUUGGCAAAAAUUUAAAUGUUAAAGAAAUGGUCAAGAAUGAUGAUUUACAGAUUGCUGAUGGAAUUCUAAAUUGGUGCAAAUGCUCUAAAAGAGUUUAGCAUUGCCUUUUAAAUACGAUCAUUUCACAGUUCAUAUAUUGUAUGAUUCAGGAAUCCUUUUCCUUGGCAUAAUAGUAGUAAGAGGUAUGUGUAUUAGAGUUCCUAGUCUUCUUCCUUUCUCAAUAAUUUACAGACUUAUUUUAUAUAUUCCAGAUGCAAGUCCUUUGGUUGUUAUAGGCACUGCAAAUAUUAAUAACUUCUCAAACUCUUUACUUGUCUUUUCCCUUUUAAUUGUUUUUUAAAUGAACAAAUAUCUUUAUUAGUAGUAUAAUAAUAAAAUUUAUUAUUUUGUGGAUAAUGUUUUUGUGUGUUUUAAAACAAAUAUUUAACAACC
rnacentral:lncRNA from 10 species